UUUACUUAACUUAUACAUGCAAGUCUCCGCACCCCUGUGAGAACGCCCCAAUACUCCUUAUUGGAAAAAGGAGCCGGUAUCAGGCGCAAUAAUUAGCCCAAGACACCUAGCCUUGCCACACCCACAAGGGAAUUCAGCAGUAAUUAACAUUGAAUAUGAGCGCCAGCUUGAUUCAGUCACAGUAAAAAGGGCAGGCAAAUAUGGUGCCAGCCGCCGCGGUUACACCAUGUGGCCCAAAUUGACUUUCUUCGGCGUAAACUGUGAUUAAAGUAACACAACACUGUAGUCAAACUAGAAUAGGGUUGUGAUAAGCUUAUAUCUAGGAAGCCCAAAAACGAAAGUUACUACACCCAUAAUAACUUGAACUCACAACAGCUAAGGAACAAACUAGGAUUAGAUACCCUACUAUGCUUAGCCGCAAACUUUUAAUUACAUCCUCAACGCCUGGGAACUACGAGCAAAGCUUAAAACCCAAAGGACUUGACGGUGCCCCAUAUCCCCCUAGAGGAGCCUGUCCUAUAAUCGAUAACCCCCGUUUAACCUCACCACUUUUUGCCAAGUCAGUCUGUAUACCUCCGUCGCCAACUUACCACAUGAGUGAAUAAUAGUAAGUUUGAUGUCUUUACCCGUCAAUACGUCAGGUCAAGGUGCAGCUAAUAGAGUGGGAAGAGAUGGGCUACACUCUCUAACUUAGAGAACACGAAUAACUAACAUGAAACAUUGCUUGAAGGUGGAUUUAGUAGUAAAAAAAGAAUAGAGCGCUUUUUUGAACAAGGCCCUGGGGUGUGUACACACCGCCCGUCACCCUCUUCGGAGCAUAAUAAUAGUAUUUAACAAACCACCUGCAUAGUAGAAGAGGCAAGU
rnacentral:ncRNA from 1 species